GACAUCAUUGUCUUAGUGAGGAAUAUCCAAAAUAUAAUCAAUUUUAUCAUGUUUAUCCUGACUGCUAUUAACAUCUGGAAGGUAAAGAGAGAACUGAAGAGGUUUGAGCGACAGAGAGAGAUGACAACGACGUGCUUUAAUUUCGAUACUCAAACUUAUGCAAUCUUUUUGAGAAUUACCGUCAUCAUGGGUGGAAUUUGGAUUUUUAAUACCAUUUUAUUUUUUUGGAUAUGGCUAAAUACGACGUCGAUGGUUUAUAUACGAUCCUUUAUAAUGCCCACUUCUGCUUUGGUAUUCUAUACUUUAUUCUGCUAGUCCUAAAGCGCAGCACCCUAGAGCUUCUGAUGGAUAGCAUUCGUGAAAGAAGAAAUGAAAAGCGAAUCCGUGCUCAGAGAGAAAAUGACCUGGCCCAAAUAUCUAAAUGUAUCGAAAUAAAUGUGUUUAUUUCAUAAUUUAUAUGAACACCUUUUUGCCACUUUAAAAAAUUAAGCAAUA